GUGCUUAUGGAGCACUAUACUAACAAUUAGAAAGAACCACAGAAGAUUCGCAAGGUCAGUGCACAAGGAUGACAUGCAAUUUGUGAAGCAUUUAUGUUUUUG